CGUGUUCCCUUCCUCGGCUUCCUAACUCCCGGCCGAGGAGACAGGAGCCCGCCCGCCACUUCGAGGGACACGCUGCGGGCCUCUCAGAUCCCGGCGGGGCGAGGAGGGCCGCGCGGCUGCCGUUCUAGCGUCCGCACCGUCGACGCUGAGCGCGCGGUCAGAAACCCGGGUCUGCGGACUAGAGAUAGCUUUUCCUGGCCGGGCGCGGUGGCUCACACCUGUAAUCCCA
rnacentral:lncRNA from 1 species